rnacentral:rRNA from 1 species
UACGAGUGCCCCGAGCGUUAUCCGGAAUUAUUGGGCGUAAAGGGUGUGUAGGUGGUCAUAUUAGUCUUUUGUUAAAUUCUUCGGCUUAACCGGGGGCAUGCAAAGGAAACGGUAUGACUUGAGGAUGCGAGAGGUACAUGGAACUCAUGGAGUAGGGGUGAAAUCCGUUGAUAUCAUGGGGAACACCAAAAGCGAAGGCAAUGUACUGGCGCACUCCUGACACUGAAACACGAAAGCGUAGGUAGCGAAUGGG